CGGAGACUAGACAACAAGAACAUGAUAAGCCGGAAAAAUGCAGAAUUGAACAAGGUGGUGUUUCUGAUAAGACGGAUAAAAAGGCGAAGAAAGAUGAAGAAAGGAAACCGACAGCACGAAAAUUAUCAACAGAGACUAGACAACAAGAACAUGAUCAGCUGAACAAAGACAAAACUGAACAAGGUGGUGACUCUGAUAAGACGGACAAAAAGGCGA